rnacentral:rRNA from 1 species
UGAAAUUGAACUCGCUGUGAAGAUGCAGUGUACCCGCGGCAAGACGGAAAGACCCCGUGAACCUUUACUAUAGCUUGACACUGAACAUUGAGCCUUGAUGUGUAGGAUAGGUGGGAGGCUUUGAAGUGUGGACGCCAGUCUGCAUGGAGCCGACCUUGAAAUACCACCCUUUAAUGUUUGAUGUUCUAACGUGGACCCGUAAUCCGGGUUGCGGACAGUGUCUGGUGGGUAGUUUGACUGGGGCGGUCUCCUCCUAAAGAGUAACGGAGGAGCACGAAGGUUGGCUAAUCCUGGUCGGACAUCAGGAGGUUAGUGCAAUGGCAUAAGCCAGCUUGACUGCGAGCGUGACGGCGCGAGCAGGUGCGAAAGCAGGUCAUAGUGAUCCGGUGGUUCUGAAUGGAAGGGCCAUCGCUCAACGGAUAAAAGGUACUCCGGGGAUAACAGGCUGAUACCGCCCAAGAGUUCAUAUCGACGGCGGUGUUUGGCACCUCGAUGUCGGCUCAUCACAUCCUGGGGCUGAAGUAGGUCCCAAGGGUAUGGCUGUUCGCCAUUUAAAGUGGUACGCGAGCUGGGUUUAGAACGUCGUGAGACAGUUCGGUCCCUAUCUGCCGUGGGCGCUGGAGAACUGAGGGGGGCUGCUCCUAGUACGAGAGGACCGGAGUGGACGCAUCACUGGUGUUCGGGUUGUCAUGCCAAUGGCACUGCCCGGUAGCUAAAUGCGGAAGAGAUAAGUGCUGAAAGCAUCUAAGCACGAAACUUGCCCCGAGAUGAGUUCUCCCUGAGACUUAGAGUCUCCUGAAGGAACGUUGAAGACGACGACGUUGAUAGGCCGGGUGUGUAAGCGCAGCGAUGCGUUGAGCUAACCGGUACUAAUGAACCGUGAGG